GCCAGGCGUGGUGGUGCAUGCCUAUAAUCCCAGCUACUCGGGAGGCUGAGGCAGGAGAAUCGCUUGAACCCAGGAGGCAGAGGUUGCAGUGAGCUGACAUCAUGCCACUGCAUUCCAGCCUGGGUGACAGAGUGAGACUCUGUCUCAA
rnacentral:SRP_RNA from 1 species